CCAGGGGCUGGCCAAUGACCAGGCCGCCCGGGAUGAGCUAAUAAUGGAAGCAAUUUGUAACUUUCAGUAGCUCUCUAGGCCUGGGUACCGGAGGGAGGGAGGUGGGCAGAGGAGGGGAGAUGGGCACCCCCAGUCUUUCCAUCCUCCUCAUUCGACUAGGGGCACCCGAAUCCCCUAUUCCUUAUUUCCCCUAUCACUCAGGCACUGGCAGGGUCCUUUGCCCACUCCUGUUGGCCGCUGCGGCUCCAAAGCGAGAUGUGCCUGAGACAGGUUUGACCAGGCAACUGAAAAGACAUCCCUAAGAGAAGACAAAGCAAAGGUAUGAAAGGAACACACAUCCCUGACUGACUAGGAGGAACAGAGCUGCCUGCUGUCUGGAACCGCUUCCUCCAAGACUAAGGUUUCCCAGAGGAAGAGAGAGAAUUUGGACAAAUGAAUGAGGAACAAUGCUCUCCUGAGAGUUUCUUUAAGGGGCGAGAAUCACUGCCGCUAGCUCCUUUGAAAGCAGAAUUAAGAGGCAGUGCAGGAAGGCACAGCAGGAAGGCUCAUGGUUAGACUACAGAGAAGGAAGCAGCCACUGCUGGGGACCUACCCUGUGCUGGUCACUGACAAGCUGUCUCAUUAAACCUUUCCGGACCCUCAA
rnacentral:lncRNA from 1 species